rnacentral:sRNA from 2 species
UUUAACCUAUUGCUUAAUCUUUACAGAGCGGGGGAACCAUAUUGAUAUCCUGAUAAAUGUCGGUAUAUCUAGGGGUGAAUCGUACAUGCGAAGAGGACUCUCAUCCUCUAACCCGACAGCUAACCUCGUAAGCGUAUUGAGAGAAGGG